rnacentral:rRNA from 1 species
CUGGCGGCGUGCCUAAUACAUGCAAGUCGAGCGAACGGAUAAGGAGCUUGCUCCUUUGAAGUUAGCGGCGGACGGGUGAGUAACACGUGGGUAACCUACCUAUAAGACUGGAAUAACUUCGGGAAACCGGAGCUAAUGCCGGAUAACAUUUGGAACCGCAUGGUUCUAAAGUAAAAGAUGGUUUUGCUAUCACUUAUAGAUGGACCCGCGCCGUAUUAGCUAGUUGGUAAGGUAACGGCUUACCAAGGCAACGAUACGUAGCCGACCUGAGAGGGUGAUCGGCCACACUGGAACUGAGACACGGUCCAGACUCCUACGGGAGGCAGCAGUAGGGAAUCUUCCGCAAUGGACGAAAGUCUGACGGAGCAACGCCGCGUGAGUGAUGAAGGUUUUCGGAUCGUAAAACUCUGUUAUUAGGGAAGAACAAAUGUGUAAGUAACUGUGCACAUCUUGACGGUACCUAAUCAGAAAGCCACGGCUAACUACGUGCCAGCAGCCGCGGUAAUACGUAGGUGGCAAGCGUUAUCCGGAAUUAUUGGGCGUAAAGCGCGCGUAGGCGGUUUCUUAAGUCUGAUGUGAAAGCCCACGGCUCAACCGUGGAGGGUCAUUGGAAACUGGGAAACUUGAGUACAGAAGAGGAAAGUGGAAUUCCAUGUGUAGCGGUGAAAUGCGCAGAGAUAUGGAGGAACACCAGUGGCGAAGGCGACUUUCUGGUCUGUAACUGACGCUGAUGUGCGAAAGCGUGGGGAUCAAACAGGAUUAGAUACCCUGGUAGUCCACGCCGUAAACGAUGAGUGCUAAGUGUUAGGGGGUUUCCGCCCCUUAGUGCUGCAGCUAACGCAUUAAGCACUCCGCCUGGGGAGUACGACCGCAAGGUUGAAACUCAAAGGAAUUGAC